GUCCUGCUGACGAGUCCCAAAUAGGAGGAAACGCGCGUCAAGCUGUAU
rfam:Schistosoma rodhaini strain Burundi genome assembly, scaffold: SROB_scaffold0000155